GAUGAACGCUGGCGGCGUGCCUAAUACAUGCAAGUCGAGCGAACAGACGAGGAGCUUGCUCCUCUGACGUUAGCGGCGGACGGGUGAGUAACACGUGGAUAACCUACCUAUAAGACUGGGAUAACUUCGGGAAACCGGAGCUAAUACCGGAUAAUAUAUUGAACCGCAUGGUUCAAUAGUGAAAGACGGUUUUGCUGUCACUUAUAGAUGGAUCCGCGCCGCAUUAGCUAGUAGGUAAGGUAACGGCUUACCAAGGCAACGAUGCGUAGCCGACCUGAGAGGGUGACCGGCCCACCUGGAACGAGACCCCGUCCCAACCUCCUACGGAGGGCAGCAGUGGGGAAUUUUCCGAAAGGGGGGAAACCCGAACGGAGCAACGCCGCGUGGGGAAUGAAGGUCUUCGGUUCGUAAAACCCUGUUUUUGGGGAAAAAAAAAUGUGUAAUUAACUAUGCCCGUUUUGACGGUCCCAAAUAAGAAAGCCCCGGCUAACUACGU
rnacentral:rRNA from 1 species